GACAUGGUGCCGUAUCAGUGUUUAUUUAAAUAAAUUCAGAUAGAAUUAGUAUGACUGUUUCAGGGCAUGUUCUAGAAAGGGCAUCUGGAGAAAGACAGAUGUUCUCUCUUUCUCUCAUCAAGUGAGAGAGAAAGACUUAGUAACAUUUGCAAAGACAAUUUGUGUAGGAGGCAUGUGUAUCUUGAAGGAAAUAUUACUUUCAAAAAUGACAGGAGUGAAUAGACAAUAUCAUUUUUGUGAUUCUGGAAGUUUUUACAGGAGGAAUCCUCUCUGAAGAACAAACAUUUACUUUAUUUUAUAUUGGGUUGAUAAGGACAAUCAAUGAUUUCAAUCGAGAAAAGUUUUAUGUGCUAAAAAUUAUGGAAAGAACUUCAUGGAAUACUCAGUUGAUUAAAAAAUGCAUACAUCUGCCUUGAGGAUGAAUAAACUUUAUUUUCCUGGAACAACAUUAUCUAGGGGACACACAUAUUGUCUUGAGCUUCCUCUUUUUGCUUUGUCAAGUGCAUUCCUUGGCACUUGACAAAUAAAUGAAAAUAACUAUAAUAAUAACUUGACUCUACACAGUCCAUUUUUUCAAGAAGCUGUAUGAGCAUAAAGCAUACAUUCUCCCCGUUCAUUCUGCCAGUCAGUCAGUGAGGCUGGCCUUUAAAUAGGACUCUGGUGCAUUCCAAUUUGCAGGUAAGCAUUACUUGUUGUUGGGAAUGCUCUCCAGAGAUGAAGACUGCAGGUCCUGUGCUAUGUGAAAGAAUAAAGCAGAUUUCAAAGAAUGGUGAUGUGAUCCAGCAAACCCACUAUCAUUAGACUGAAAUAAAUGGGAGCAUUUCAAUUAAACUCACAGUCUGAAAGGUAAUUUAAAUUCCUCUUUUCUCCAGAUUGGUGUGUAUAAAUGCUCAAUUUUUAUUCUUAACUUUGCUAGGAUUAGUAACAUCAAUACAUAAUACAGGUGGCAGCUAAAUGCUUCAUUUGUUCAGGACAGAGCUCUAUACUCAUAAACCACUGCACCGAGCCCCCCAUGUCCAAAUGCAAUUUCCCUCUUAAGCAAUUCACCUUAAGAUAACGAUUUCCCUACAGUUGUGUUUAAAUCCUAGUUUUAACAAGUCCAUGUGGCUUGUUGUAAAAAAAUAUGUAACUUGAGAUACAAAUGAUACAUGGUGGCUGAUCUCAUUGAUCUUCAUAACCAAGGUAUCUCAUUGCUCUUUACAAGGAAAUAUAAACGUCAUGUGAGAUCAGUCACCCUAGAUUCCCCUCAGCAGUCAAGGAAUGCAUGCUGUUCCUGCUCCUUCUCUUCUCCAGGACUGAAAUACUUUUAGGAGACUAUUCUGAGUGACAUACAAUCAGAAAAUGAUUCAAGCUGUGAUCCCUGGCUAAAUUCUUGUUACCAUCUGUAUGCAGUUUAAUAACUAGCAGCAGGGCCCAAUAGCUGUCCUCUCACCGGGCUGUUGGCCGCCUACCUGAUUCCACUAUUGCCAGCAAUAUGCUGUUGGAAAGACCAAAGUGGUAGCUAAGGCCACCCUCUCCUUCAAGGUUUACAUAAAAUUAAAACUGAAAUUGAAUAUUUUCCUUAUAUCUCUGAGAAUUUCUGGGGCCUAAAUCUUUGUGGCCGCUUCCAGCUCUGAAUUUCUUGUUUCCUGUUGCUUCCAAGACUUAUGUCUUGUAGCCAUUCCUUCUGCUCUGUGAAGGUCCAGAUGUGGAACUGAGGCCCUUUCUCUGAUUUGUCCCAACCUGCUGCACUAAAGGUUUGCAGCACCAGAGGCUUUUAUUCAAUUUAGAAUGUUUACAUUUUAGUAUAGACACUUAGACACUGCUCAGCCUCCUCUCUUUUAGAAAGCUCUCUCCUUUCUCAGAUGCCCCUGUUUAUUAUGUACAGCAUUUAGCUUACCAUUCUGACUCAAUCCAACAUCUGACACUAGAUGUCUACCAGUCCUGCUAAGUGUCUUCUGCUCCAAAUAAUGCAAAAGAACUAGUAGAUGGUUUGAAGUUUUGGAAUUUCCUUUUUUUCAUAGUAGUCUCUGUACAUGUUUCCCUGAUUACUUCUCCCUCCUAUAUAUAUUCAUACUGAGCCAUUUACAGCAGGGGUAAUAAGUAAUACCCUUUAGGGACAUUUGAACUAACAAAGGGUUUUGAAUCCUUUGACUUCAGUGUCAAGUCUGCUAUAAAAAUAUUUUAGGUGGUCCAAACUAAUUGAGUCAAACAACUGACUACCUUCCUUCCUUCCAUUUGUCCUCUUUCUUCCUUCCUCCUUUUUUUGCAUAACCACUAAAACCAAUUUUCAAAUUUUAUUCCAAUUUGUAGGAGCGAAGGAAAUCUGGGUCAUAUAAAUGUAUAUCUAUAAUUUCUAAAAUCCCAGAUCCUUUCAAGAAUAUUUCUGUAAAUGUAUUUCCGUAAAUGUAUAGAGCCCAGAUUUUAGUUAUUGUUUCAUGUGUCUUUGUGAAUUGAACUUCAGUUUCUAACUCCAAACAGACAAAAUAGAAUUGGCAUUGUUCACACAUUUAAUAAAGUAUUCAAAAUUGCACGUAAAUUUAAUGUCUUAUAUCCUAUGUUUUCCCAGGCCAUGGCCAACAAAAUGGGAUCACAGUAACAUUGGCAAAAAUAUAAUAUCUCUAGUUCUGCUCCUAUUUGCUUGACAAAAACUCUAUGUAUCUCAAAUGCCCCCUAAAUAAUUCCUAAAAUCAUAUCUCACCUUUUUCUCAGCAACCACCUGAACAGGGACCACUUUCAUCCUCUCCUGCUCAGGUCUGGGUCCCUGGAGCAAUGUCUGCCACUGAGGAUCCUGAUGCUACAACCAAAGUGUCCCAAGAUACAAUAAUAGAGCCUAUGUCUACACACACCAAAGUAAGUGAUAGAUUAAAAGACAAAUGUUAUCAGAUGUUUGAACAACUGUUUACCUGUGCCAAAAUGAACUGAUUAAAUGGCCAUGUUCUUUAAAAGAAAAAAAUGCCAAAGUACAAAAGCUAAGAGAGUCAUAAAGAAAGAGCCAUUUUCUAUUUCCUAAUAUUUCUUUAUACACAGAAGCAAUGGUAGGACAAAAGAUGUGUCAAAAAGAUGAUUUCUAUGUAACAUUUUAAAAUGUAAAUCUGGGGAUUAUCUGAAUAUUCAAUUUUUUUUUUUUUUUUUUGAGACGGAGUCUCGCUCUGUUGCCCAGGCUGGAGUGCAGUGGCAUGAUCUCGGCUCACUGCAA
rnacentral:lncRNA from 10 species